GUGGAAACCAACUUAGAGAGUCAGUCGGAGGGGCCAAAAGACUGACACAGGAAGAGGAGGAAGAUCAAGAGACGCCAGAUGAGAUCGAUUUGUGUUCAGUCACAAGAGCAGGAGAGCUGUUCCUGACCCUCAUUGACUUCAGCACUUAGGAGCGCAGGCCCUGCUCCUCACCUGGGCAACACAGUAGAGCUGAUCCGGGUGGAUGGAGUGCUGAUCUUCAUUCACCUUAUUUUCUGAGGAAGGAUCUCUCCUUGAGCCUAGAGCUCAUGGAGUUAGCUAGUUUGACUAGCUGCCUUUCCCUAGGUAUCCUUUCUCUACCUUUGUAACACUGGAAUGCCAGAUGUAACUGGAAUAUCGCAUAGGAUGCUUGAAUAUUUCCUUGAGGAACUUAUGGACACAGUGGAAAUAUAAACAACUAUUAGGCCCAACACAUGCUGAGAUGAGGAAAUCUGACCUCCCACACGUGUUUUCUAUGAGGAAUAUGUUUGCUGCACAGACACCAAGUUAAAAGCAAGCUGCGCUCCCUUGUGCUCAGAGCUGAGAGCUGAUUCUUCAGACCCAGCCUUGCA